UACGUAGGGCGCGAGCGUUGUCCGGAAUUAUUGGGCGUAAAGAGCUCGUAGGCGGCCUGUUACGUCUGCUGUGAAAUCCCGGGGCUUAACCCCGGGCGUGCAGUGGAUACGGGCAGGCUGGAGGCAGGCAGGGGAGAACGGAAUUCCCGGUGUAGCGGUGAAAUGCGCAGAUAUCGGGAGGAACACCGGUGGCGAAGGCGGUUCUCUGGGCCUGUACUGACGCUGAGGUGCGAAAGCGUGGGGAGCAAACAGG
rnacentral:rRNA from 1 species